rnacentral:rRNA from 1 species
GCAAACGUUGUUCGGAAUUACUGGGCGUAAAGCGCAUGUAGGCGGCCAAGCAGGUCGGAUGUGAAAUCCCUCGGCUCAACCAAGGAAGUGCAUUCGAAACCGCAUGGCUCGAGUCCCGGAGAGGAAGGUGGAAUUCUCGGUGUAGAGGUGAAAUUCGUAGAUAUCGAGAGGAACACCGGUGGCGAAAGCGGCCUUCUGGACGAGGACUGACGCUGAGAUGCGAAAGCGUGGGGAGCAAACAGG